AUUGAACGCUGGCGGCAGGCUUAACACAUGCAAGUCGAGCGGAGAUGAGGUGCUUGCACCUUAUCUUAGCGGCGGACGGGUGAGUAAUGCUUAGGAAUCUGCCAUUUAGUGGGGGACAACAUUCCGAAAGGAAUGCUAAUACCGCAUACGUCCUACGGGAGAAAGCAGGGGAUCUUCGGACCUUGCGCUAAAUGAUGAGCCUAAGUCGGAUUAGCUAGUUGGUGGGGUAAAGGCCUACCAAGGCGACGAUCUGUAGCGGGUCUGAGCGGAUGAUCCGCCACACUGGGACUGAGACACGGCCAGACUCCUACGGGAGGCAGCAGUGGGGAAUAUUGGACAAUGGGCGGAAGCCUGAUCCAGCCAUGCCGCGUGUGUGAAGAAGGCCUUUUGGUUGUAAAGCACUUUAAGCGAGGAGGAGGCUACUAGUACUAAUACUACUGGAUAGUGGACGUUACUCGCAGAAUAAGCACCGGCUAACUCUGUGCCAGCCGCCGCAGUAACAC
rnacentral:rRNA from 1 species